GUCCCUGUAGCGCAAUGGAAAGCGCGCGCGCGUUGGACUUCUAAUCGAAAGGUCGUGGGUUCGAAUCCCACCUGAGAUG